UGGAUCACCUCCUAACAGGGAGACAACAAAAUGUUUUGAUAUAAAUUUUGUCACCUUAGGUCGAUCGGUAUCUCAGAUUUUCAUUUUUGGAAAUUUCAGUUUCUAAGUUUUUUCUAGGUCACCCAUUUUUCCUGGGCCAUUAGCUCAGGUGGUUAGAGCGCACCCCUGAUAAGGGUGAGGUCCCUGGUUCAAGUCCAGGAUGGCCCAUAUCUCUAUAUUGGGGGUAUAGCUCAGUUGGUAGAGCGCCUGCUUUGCAAGCAGGAUGUCAGCGGUUCGAGUCCGCUUACCUCCACUGAAUACCACCUAUCCAAAGAGAAGGAAUAUUUGGGAUCGAUUUUAAUCUGAAUGAAUCUAGCUUCCUAUUAUUUAAAUUAAUUAAUAAGAUGCUGGACUCAAUGAAUUUUUGAAUUCUUUGUUUUCAGAGAACCUUGACAACUGCAUAGAUUUUUUUUCAAGACAAUAAGCAUCUUUUAAGAUGCAGAUUUAUUAUUGGUGCUUAUGCAUUAAUAACAAUUCUAUUGAGCUGAUGCUUCAAUUUUUUGAAGUUAUUGGUCAAGCUACAAAGGGCUCACGGAGGAUACCUAGGCACACAGAGGCGAUGAAGG
rnacentral:tRNA from 1 species